UUACUUAAAAUAUUAUCUAAAUUAUAAUAAUAAUAAUUAAUAAUUAAUAAAGAGAGGUUACUUUCUAAAAAAAAUAAUGAAGUAAAAACCCUCUUAACCAAAUCAAAACAAAAAAUAAAACUUGGCCCAUUUGGCCCAUAUUCCAACCCUAAUUAUUUUUCCUGCAAUGCAACCCUUCCUCAAGCCGUCGCCGCUGCCUUCCCUCUUAGAAGAAGACAGAUCUGCAGAUGUCGGGGAAGACAGAGCCACUGUCAGAGAGGAUAGAUCGGCGGAGAUUCGCCGGAGAGGAGAGGAGACUCGCGGAGGUGUCGCGCGGAGAGGAAAGGAGACGCGCGGAGGUGUCGCGCGAAGGAGGUGAGGCGCGAAGGAGGAGAGCCGUGAAAGAGGCGCUGCGGAGGUCUGGAGUGGAGAGGAGAGUAGGAGAGGUCUGGUCUGGAGUGAAAGUGCCCUAACACACAACACAAAACGUGCGUUUUGUGUAAGUGGAAAAAAAAACGGUGAUCUCUUAAUAUCGGAGGUAGUCUUGCGAGUUUACACGAGUUUACCUGAGUUCACCGAGAUUGCUCCGAGUUCACUAAAAAACGAGUUUACCUCCGAGUUGUACAGGUAAGCUCUUGUAAACUCGUACGAGUUUACGAGUUAUCACUAGAGAUUGACAACCAUGCUUACCAAUGUUUAGUUACUCAAAUGGACAUUCUCGCUUCUACUUCAUCCGCUAGCAUAGGUCCUUCUACAUUCUCGCUUCCACUUCGUCCACCACUACCUGCCAGCCCAUGAAGUUGACUAUUUUCUGUACCAAGGAUAACUUCCUUUGUGGAAACUGCAUUGAAAAGGUUUAAUCAAAACCUCAAACAGAAAUGAAUAUGAGAAAGUCUUGGUUGUAAAUAAAUCAACCAGCAAUGGGCAUAAACCAAAUAAGUAACCAACUAACUACCUUCGAUUAUCUGUUGCUUGUUCCAUGGAACAGCAUUUACAAUAAGACCUUCAGCUUGCUCAAAAUUCGUGGCUUGGUUCAUUUGGCAUGUAUAGAAAGUUUCAGCACCUCCAGGACCAAUUACAGUGGCAAUACAGUGACUCCCUCUAGGAUCCACAAAAACCCUAUGAAUUGACUGGUCCCCAGGACGACCCAUAGUGAGAUCAAUCUCUAUACUCCAAACAGACAACAAGAUAUCAGACUCAGGAUAUCAAAACAAAAGAAACAGCUACAAAUCCCAGAUUAAGCUCAAGCAUACACGACUAUCAAGAACUCUAAAACAAAACAUUCAAACAGUGAUCCGUAUUCUAUACCUGUGUUGAAUUACAAUUAAACCCCGAGAUUGACAUUCAAAAUAUAAAAAAGUUCCUAAAUUUGAAACACCCAUAUGAAUGGGAUGUCAAAUGGCAAUUCAUGGAAAAUGCGUAUUGUUGUUGAAGGAAUAGAAAGCUGAAAAAUUGAAACUUUACCAAAUGAAUUGCCAACCCCAAAAUCAUGCCUGAUGACCCAUCCUCUGCUGGUUCCAAUGACAAUGACAUCAUUCCCAGCAGCCAUGCAAGUGAUAACUCCAUGCCCUUUUGCCGCAUAUCGUUCCAGAAGGUCCACUGUGAAUACCUGCCUCCCUUGAUCCAUCUAUCAAUUUUUAUUUUUAUUU